rnacentral:rRNA from 1 species
UACGUAGGGUGCAAGCGUUGUCCGGAAUUAUUGGGCGUAAAGAGCUCGUAGGCGGUCUGUUGCGUCGGCUGUGAAAACCCGGGGCUCAACUCCGGGCCUGCAGCCGAUACGGGCAGACUAGAGUUCGGCAGGGGAGACUGGAAUUCCUGGUGUAGCGGUGAAAUGCGCAGAUAUCAGGAGGAACACCGAUGGCGAAGGCAGGUCUCUGGGCCGAUACUGACGCUGAGGAGCGAAAGCGUGGGAGCGAACAGG